rnacentral:rRNA from 1 species
UACGGAAGGCAGCAGUGGGGAAUAUUGCACAAUGGGCGCAAGCCUGAUGCAGCCAUGCCGCGUGUAUGAAAAAGGCCUUCGGGUUGUAAAGUACUUUCAGUCGUGAGGAAGGUGUUAAGGUUAAUAACCUUAGCAAUUGACGUUAGCGACAGAAGAAGCACCGGCUAACUCCGUGCCAGCAGCCGCGGUAAUACGGAGGGUGCGAGCGUUAAUCGGAAUUACUGGGCGUAAAGGGCACGCAGGCGGUUAAUUAAGUUGGAUGUGAAAUCCCCGGGCUUAACCUGGGAAUGGCAUUCAAGACUGGUUAGCUAGAGUCUUGUAGAGGGGGUAGAAUUCCAUGUGUAGCGGUGAAAUGCGUAGAGAUGUGGAGGAAUACCGGUGGCGAAGGCGGCCCCUGGGCAAAGGCUGACGCUCAUGUGCGAAAGCGUGGGGAGCAAACAGGGAUUAGAUACC